rnacentral:rRNA from 1 species
GGCAAAUCCGGCACUCUUAAGAUUGAGCUGUGAUGGGGAGAGGAAAUUGUUUCCUCGAGUCGUUGAUUUCACACUGCCGAGAAAAGCCUCUAGAUAGAUAAUAGGUGCCCGUACCGCAAACCGACACAGGUAGUCAAGAUGAGAAUUCUAAGGUGAGCGAGCGAACUCUCGUUAAGGAACUCGGCAAAAUGACCCCGUAACUUCGGGAGAAGGGGUGCUCUUUAGGGUGCAAGCCCAGAAGAGCCGCAGUGAAUAGGCCCAAGCGACUGUUUAUCAAAAACACAGGUCUCUGCUAAACCGUAAGGUGAUGUAUAGGGGCUGACGCCUGCCCGG